UCUCCCAUGUAUGCAAGGAUUUGCUCGUAUUCAAGAUCGAGAUGAGAUGGGUUUGGGCCAGGCCACCCUUUUCCCAACAUGAAGAAAUUGCAAGCUAAUAUGCAGGCCCAGCCCAAAGUCAAACUAUGGGCUCUAACAACACAUGCUCUAUUUCAUCCUAGCCUAUUUUGGGUCCAAAGGCAAUGAUGCCCUCGUUCAAUAUGUGAUAUGGGAUGGCAGUUUACCUC
rnacentral:lncRNA from 1 species